rnacentral:ribozyme from 13 species
AGAAGAAAAGAAAGGAAGAGAGAGGAAAAGAGAACGAAAGAGAGAAAGGGAUGAAAUCAUUGGUUUGUUGCUCUUUCUCUUUCCUCUUCUUUCUUCUCUUUCUCUUUCUCUCUCUU